rnacentral:lncRNA from 1 species
GCAACUGGAGUACUUGGACACUGCUGAUGGUGUAAGUUGGCAUAGUUACCUUGGAAACUGUCUGGUAACAUACAUGUACCCCAUGACUCAUCGGUUCACCCAACAUAAAUCUGCACCUGUUCUCACAUGCUCAUGGUGGCCCUGUUUGUAAUGGCCAGAACUAGAGAAUGCACAGGACACUGUGAUAAAUACUCUGUGGUACAUCACACAGUGGAAUACCACACAGCGACGAGAUGGAUGAUCUGUGGUCACGCACAACGGGGACCAUGGCCCAAUUCCAUCCAUGUCAGCGUUAAUAGCGGGCUGCUGGCCCUUCCCCUAGAAGCCAGCAGAGUGCUCACCCACAGUGAAAGGAUGACUGGAAGGAGCAGAAGGGCUUUUAGGGGCUGCUCAAGUUCUGUUUCUUGACCUGAGUGGUAGUUCUACAAAUUCCUUUUGUGAAAAAACAUCAAACUGUAUAUUUAUGAUGUACAUCCCUUUUUAUAUGUGUAUAUUUCAACAAAGAAUUAAAAAGUAAAGGCAGCAUCCUUGACUCAGGAAGCACACAACUUGGUGGAGAAGACAGACAAUAAGUACAUAAAUAAACUAAGUUUAUAAUUAAAACAUCAUGACAUAGGCGAAGACGCCAUCCCUUUUGCUGUCACCUUGCUGCUUUCUCCUCUGGAAGCACUGUAGCCAUCCUGGUGACUUUACCGCCUGUCUGUGGAUCUAUCAGCGCUUUGCCGUAUCCAUCCUACACAACAGUGACCAUAAUGCACAACACAUUGUAGAUUCUCCAGGAUUUGGUCCAAAGAACAUAUAAUGUACUUUGCUUCCCAUGAACUUCUGGAUUAAGACUAGCCAUCUGUAACCAUUCUGCAUGCUUCAGUGCCUGGGAUACUGUUCAGGGAGCAAUCACAGUGUCUUUCUUGGGUGAGGAUUGAAAAGGCAUAUUUUUCAGUAAAUAUGUUUCAAAGCAUGUUUGGUAGGGCCUACCUAUAAUCCCAGCUACUUGGGAUGCUGAGGUAGGAGGAUCACAAGUUUGAGGCCGGCCUGGGCAACUUAGUAAGACCCUGUCUCAAAAUAAAGUAAAAUAGUGCUGGAGAUGCAGCUCAGUGGUAGAGCAUUUGUCUAGCCUGUGCCAGGGCCCUGGGUCCAACCCUCAGCACUGCAAAAAUACACAAACACACACACACACACAAGUAUGCUUUGGAUUUCUCCCCAAACAUUUU